UACGUAGGCGGAAAAUUAAGUCAGUAGUGAAAUCCUGCAGCUUAACUGUAGAACUGUUAUUGAUACUGGUUUUCUUGAAUAUAGUUGAGGUAGGCGGAAUGUGUAAUGUAGCGGUGAAAUGCUUAGAUAUUACACAGAACACCGAUUGCGAAGGCAGCUUACUAAGCUAUGAUUGACUCUGAGGUACGAAAGCGUGGGGAGCGAACAGGAUUAGAUACCCUGGUAGUCC
rnacentral:rRNA from 1 species